UAUUCAGGGAUUAUGGAAAAUCACAACACACAUCUGGCACCAGGCUUCACCCUUACCGACCUUGUUCCAGCGCCAGCAAAUGUGGCUGUUUUCUGGGGUCUGCUGGGACCAGGUGGGUUCAACAGUCUCCACCACAUGUCCUUCCAGCAGUGGAACUGCUUUUCCCCAUGUGGCCCGAGAACCUCCCAGACCCCACUGUGUUCCUGGGGAUUCACCCUUCCCACCAGAGCACCGCCAGAAUAAGAUCCUACUCUA